rnacentral:misc_RNA from 1 species
UCUCCGUUGGUGAACCAGCGGAGGGAUCAUUACAGAGUUUAUUAUAACUCCUAAACCCAUGUGAACCUACCUUCUGUUGCCUCGGCAGGCAAGUCGUAUCUUGCUACCCUAUAGGACCCUAUCUUGUAAGACGUUACCUUAUAAGGUCCUAUCCGGUAGAGAGAUGCGGUACUACCUGCCGGUAGACUGAAAAAAAAAUUCUGUUUAAUAAAUGGUAUUCUGAAUCAUUAUAUGGAAAUUAAGUUAAAACUUUCAACAACGGAUCUCUUGGUUCUG